rnacentral:rRNA from 1 species
GAUGAACGCUGGCGGCGUGCCUAAUACAUGCAAGUCGAGCGAACAGACGAGGAGCUUGCUCCUCUGACGUUAGCGGCGGACGGGUGAGUAACACGUGGAUAACCUACCUAUAAGACUGGGAUAACUUCGGGAAACCGGAGCUAAUACCGGAUAAUAUAUUGAACCGCAUGGUUCAAUAGUGAAAGACGGUUUUGCUGUCACUUAUAGAUGGAUCCGCGCCGCAUUAGCUAGUUGGUAAGGUAACGGCUUACCAAGGCAACGAUGCGUAGCCGACCUGAGAGGGUGAUCGGCCACACUGGAACUGAGACACGGUCCAGACUCCUACGGGAGGCAGCAGUAGGGAAUCUUCCGCAAUGGGCGAAAGCCUGACGGAGCAACGCCACGUGAGUGAUGAAGGUCCUCGGAUCGUAAAACUCUGUUAUUAGGGAAGAACAAAUGUGUAAGUAACUAUGCACGUCUUGACGGUACCUAAUCAGAAAGCCACGGCUAACUACGUG